UGAACCUCACUUGUGGGGGGAUUAGUGGCGAACGGGUGAGUAACACGUGAGUAACCUGCCCUUGACUCUGGGAUAAGCCUGGGAAACCGGGUCUAAUACUGGAUACGACCUUCUGGCGCAUGCCAUGUUGGUGGAAAGCUUUUGUGGUUUUGGAUGGACUCGCGGCCUAUCAGCUUGUUGGUGGGGUAAUGGCCUACCAAGGCGACGACGGGUAGCCGGCCUGAGAGGGUGACCGGCCACACUGGGACUGAGACACGGCCCAGACUCCUACGGGAGGCAGCAGUGGGGAAUAUUGCACAAUGGGCGCAAGCCUGAUGCAGCGACGCCGCGUGAGGGAUGAAGGCCUUCGGGUUGUAAACCUCUUUCAGUAGGGAAGAAGCCGGCCUUUGGGUUGGUGACGGUACCUGCAGAAGAAGCGCCGGCUAACUACGUGCCAGCAGCCGCGGUAAUACGUAGGGCGCAAGCGUUAUCCGGAAUUAUUGGGCGUAAAGAGCUCGUAGGCGGUUUGUCGCGUCUGCCGUGAAAGUCCGGGGCUUAACCCCGGAUCUGCGGUGGGUACGGGCAGACUAGAGUGCAGUAGGGGAGACUGGAAUUCCUGGUGUAGCGGUGAAAUGCGCAGAUAUCAGGAGGAACACCGAUGGCGAAGGCAGGUCUCUGGGCUGUAACUGACGCUGAGGAGCGAAAGCAUGGGGAGCGAACAGGAUU
rnacentral:rRNA from 1 species